rnacentral:rRNA from 1 species
ACGCUGGCGGCAGGCCUAACACAUGCAAGUCGAGCGGUAGCACGGGAGAGCUUGCUCUCUGGGUGACGAGCGGCGGACGGGUGAGUAAUGUCUGGGAAACUGCCUGAUGGAGGGGGAUAACUACUGGAAACGGUAGCUAAUACCGCAUGACCUCGCAAGAGCAAAGUGGGGGACCUUCGGGCCUCACGCCAUCGGAUGUGCCCAGAUGGGAUUAGCUAGUAGGUGGGGUAAUGGCUCACCUAGGCGACGAUCCCUAGCUGGUCUGAGAGGAUGACCAGCCACACUGGAACUGAGACACGGUCCAGACUCCUACGGGAGGCAGCAGUGGGGAAUAUUGCACAAUGGGCGCAAGCCUGAUGCAGCCAUGCCGCGUGUGUGAAGAAGGCCUUAGGGUUGUAAAGCACUUUCAGCGAGGAGGAAGGCGUUGUAGUUAAUAGCUGCAACGAUUGACGUUACUCGCAGAAGAAGCACCGGCUAACUCCGUGCCAGCAGCCGCGGUAAUACGGGAGGGUGCAAGCGUUAAUCGGAAUUACUGGGCGUAAAGCGCACGCAGGCGGUUUGUUAAGUCAGAUGUGAAAUCCCCGAGCUUAACUUGGGAACUGCAUUUGAAACUGGCAAGCUAAAGUCUUGUAGAGGGGGGUAGAAUUCCAGGUGUAGCGGUGAAAUGCGUAGAGAUCUGGAGGAAUACCGGUGGCGAAGGCGGCCCCCUGGACAAAGACUGACGCUCAGGUGCGAAAGCGUGGGGAGCAAAC